rnacentral:rRNA from 1 species
GACAGAGGCCUCGAGCGUUAGGCGGAAUCACUGGGCUUAAAGCGUGUGUAGGCGAGCCCGUAAGUGUCUUGUGAAAUCCCACGGCUCAACCGUGGAACUGCUGGGCAUACUGCGGGUCUUGGGCCAACUAGGGGCAGCCGGAACAAGCGGUGGAGCGGUGAAAUGCGUAGAUAUCGCUUGGAACGCCGAAGGUGAAAACAGGCUGCUGGGGUUGCGCCGACGCUGAGACACGAAAGCCAGGGGAGCAAACGGG